rnacentral:tRNA from 1 species
GGGAGUGUAGCUCCGUGGUAGAGUGUGUGCUUAGGAUGCACGAGAUCCUGGGUUCCAUCUCCUGUACUUUCA